GUUGUGAGCUGCCGCAAACACUGGUGGCUGGAGGGAGACGCCGGCGCCGAAGAGAGCGCUGCGCCGCUGGCCGCUAAGGGAACGCAGGGGCUGCCGCUGCUGGCCACUGCUGCUGGCCGUUUCCAGCCUUCGCCGAGAGGAUUCCUGCAUUCUAAAGGAAAAUUAAGCUUGGUUGCAGUACAGCUACAUUCUCUAUCAAUUCUGAUAUUAUAACUCCUUUGGACUUUGUAUACUGACUCUGUCCCUUGCCCUUACCUAUUAGGUUGACCAACUCGGAAUUAUUUAAUGGCCCCAAACUCAGAUGAGACCUCAGUUACCAGACACUCUUCAAAUAUCCAUUGCAGAAUUAUCACAGGAUAUAUAUUUUGUCAUCUCAGUGCCACCUAACGAUUAGCUUGCUGCUGACAUAAAUCUUUGUUUACUCAUCUUUCAAGAAACUACUCCAAGAUAAUAAUAUCAAGUAAGGAAG
rnacentral:lncRNA from 1 species